UCCACGGGGCUCUCCGAGAACUCAAUGAGAACUCCGCAAGAACUCAAAAGUAGCCGGCGCCUGAGGCAGCAGGAGCCUCCCUAUUGCCGGGCAGCAGGGGUCUAUAUACAACUGAAUACACAGCCUGUUUCAAUCCAGCAUCAUCCAGUCACAGCAAUUAUACACAGCUUAACUUAAUUAUCAUCAUCUUAGUGGCUUGCUGGCAUCACCUCUCAACCACUCCUUCUGGCAAAAUGUCAGGCGCCAUCCCGGCUGGGC
rnacentral:lncRNA from 1 species